AACCUGCGGAGGGAUCAUUAAUGAGCAUAGCUUUCCAGCUUUUGUUUCAUAUUAACCCCUGUGAACCAAAUAUCCUAACGUGUUGCUUUGGUGGGUUAUCUCCAGGGCGGAGCUUAUGGCUUGUGUCAUCUUUGGCACGAGCAACCACCGGCAGCCCUUAUGUAUAAAUCUUAUGUUUAAUUUGAAUCUGAAUAGACUUCUACAAGAAGAAAAUAUUAAAAACUUUCAACAACGGAUCUCUUGGUUCCGGCAACGAUGAAGAACGCAGCGAAUUGCGAUAAGUAAUGCGAAUCGCAGAGCCUAGUGAGUCAUCGAAUCUUUGAACGCACAUUGCGCUCGUCGACCCAUUCGGCGAGCAUGCCUGUUCGAGCGUCGUCUUCAAACCUCAGAAUUGAUUUUCUGGUGAUGGAACUCAUCCUUGUACCUCGUUCAACGAGCCAAGUUUCUUGGUUUAAUGGACAGUGGGGGAUGGUUCUUAAAAGUAAUGGCAGUACCGUAUUGCUUGUGAGUGUGGUAAAUAUCAUCACUCAUCAGACUUUUCGCGUACUACGCCUUGUUCGAAGACCAUGUAUAUGGCCUCAUUAAAUAAGGUCGACCUCGGAUCAGGUAGGAUUACCCGCUGAACUUAAGCAUAUCAAUAAGCGGAGGACAAGAAACCAACAGGGAUUGCCCCAGUAACGGCGAGCGAAGCGGCAACAGCCCAGAUUUGAAAUCUGGUUUUCACUUGAGAACCCGAGUUGUAAUCUGUAGAGGAUGUCGUUGAUUGACAGUUUCCCUGAAGUCCCCUGGAAUGGGGCGCCAUAGAGGGUGAGAGCCCCGUGCAGGAAGAUUGGACGGUCAUUAUGCGACUCCUUCGGCGAGUCGAGUAGUUUGGGAAUGCUGCUCUAAAUGGGAGGUAAAUUCCUUCUAAGGCUAAAUAUCGGCCGGAGACCGAUAGCGCACAAGUAGAGUGAUCGAAAGAUGAAAAGCACUUUGAAAAGAGGGUUAAACAGUACGUGAAAUUGUUGAAAGGGAAGCGUCCGCGACCAGACUUGUGUUCAAAUGAUCCCCUGGCGUUCGUCGCCAGGAUACUCAUUCGAUAUCASGCCAGCAUCGGUUUGUCUUCAGGGGAUAAGUAUAUUGGGAACGUAGCUUUCUCCUCGUGGGAAAGUGUUAUAGCCCGUUGUAAAGUACUCUGAUAUGGACCGAGGCCCGCGCAGUAGCACGGAUGUUGGCAUAAUGGUCGCUGGCGACCCGUCUUGAAACACGGACCAARGAGUYGAGGUUUUCCGCGAGUGUGCGGGUGGUAAACCCGCCCGCGAAAUGAAAGUGAACGUAGGUGAGAGCUGUCAUCGGCGCCACCAUCGACCGAUCCUGAUGUCAUCUGGCAGGAUCGAGUACGAGCGGAAAGCCUCGGACCCGAAAGAUGACGAACUAUGCCUGCAUAGAAUGAAGCCAGAGGAAACUCUGGUGGAGGUUCGCAGCGGUUCUGACGUGCAAAUCGAUCGUCAAAUGUGGGCAUAGGGGCGAAAGACUAAUCGA
rnacentral:rRNA from 1 species